rnacentral:rRNA from 1 species
UACAGAGGUCUCGAGCGUUUGUUCGGAUUCAUUGGGCGUAAAGGGUGCGUAGGCGGCGGGGUAAGUCUGAUGUGAAAUCCCGGGGCUCAACCCUGGAACUGCAUUGGAUACUGCCUUGCUAGAGAACUGGAGAGGAGACUGGAAUUUACGGUGUAGCGGUGAAAUGCGUAGAUAUCGUAAGGAAGACCAGUGGCGAAGGCGGUCUCUGGACAGUUCCUGACGCUGAGGCACGAAGGUCCAGGGGAGCAAACGGG